UGGCUGAGCGGUAAAGCGCUUGGCUUCCGAACCGGAGGUCCCGGGUUUAAAUCCCGG
rnacentral:tRNA from 1 species